GGGGUUGUGGCUCAGUGGUAGAGCACUUACCUGGCAUGUGUGAGGCACUUUGUUCAAAUCCUCAGCACCA
rnacentral:tRNA from 1 species